rnacentral:rRNA from 1 species
GUGAGGAAUAUUGGUCAAUGGACGAGAGUCUGAACCAGCCAAGUAGCGUGAAGGAUGACUGCCCUAUGGGUUGUAAACUUCUUUUAUAAGGGAAUAAAGUGAGGGACGUGUCCCUUUUUGUAUGUACCUUAUGAAUAAGGAUCGGCUAACUCCGUGCCAGCAGCCGCGGUAAUACGGAGGAUCCAAGCGUUAUCCGGAUUUAUUGGGUUUAAAGGGAGCGUAGGUUGACAUAUAAGUCAGCUGUGAAAGUUUACGGCUCAACCGUGAAAUUGCAGUUGAUACUGUAUGUCUUGAGUGUACAAGAGGUGAGCGGAAUUCGUGGUGUAGCGGUGAAAUGCUUAGAUAUCACGAAGAACUCCAAUUGCGAAGGCAGCUCACUGGGGUACAACUGACACUGAGGCUCGAAAGUGUGGGUAUCAAACAGGAUUAGAAACCCCGGUAGUCC